AACCCUUUGGCAGCUUGAAGGAUUCUAUUAUCUUUGGAAUUAUCAAGAAAUAACUUCUUUUUGGAUUUAUGAUUUAUUCUAGAGUAUUACCUCCAUUACAAGAGCCUGUUCUGUCUGUGGAGGUGUUUUCUUCACAAAAUUGCUCUCUAGGCUUGCAGUUAGUCUGAGCUUUUACCAGGUGAUUGUCCCAUUUGCCCCAUUAAUGCAGCUCAGCUGGGUCAAAUGGCUCUACAUUUAAAAAGCAGCCCAGGCACCAUUUUCCCAGUUUAGGUGUUAUUUGAACCAGCUUAAGCUCAAAAAGGCUAAGGAAAGAUCCAUGGACAUCCAAGGAAAGAGUAAGCUUUCUAGGCUACCAUUUGAUAUGGCUGGCUCUGGAGACAAAGUGGAGCACCAAUACUGGUGUGGUCUAGAAGCAGGCCAGAAGUAAUGACAGUACCACAUAGUGGAGACACUUUGCUAGUUGUGAAUAUCAGGUAAUUUUUUUCCAGCUUCUCUGGUAUCUGUGCUCGUGUCUUAGGUUUUAAAGUUUUGCUAAAAUAGUUUCAGUGUUCUGUACUAUGUAAGGUACAAAGUCUUACUGGCGGAGGUCGUACAGCUCCUUCAAACAUGAGAAACUGUGCAUUGAUCUUGGCUGCUCAGAUCUCUCCUGGCUCAUCCGGCCUCGUCCAGGCUUUUUCAGCUCUUCCACUUGUCGCUGCAGGUCAUCUAUGUGUGUUUGUAGACUUUCAAUAGUCUCUGUCAAGCUAAAAGGUGAAAAGACCUUUAAAUAAAACUAACCUUUCAAUUUGCCAGUAUUGUAGAACACCACUAGGCAGAGACAGACACCCAGUGACUACACAAAUACACCUGGACUGCUCUUAUUGAUAGUAACAGCUGGGGGGAGGGAAUCUCUAAAAAUUUGUUACCUUAUUAUCUUUUGUUGUGAAGCUCUACUCUCUGCAACCAGUUUUUGAUUAGUGUCUUCCAGUUCUCUUGCUGUCACAUCCAGCUGUUCAUAGACUUUUGCAUGCUGGUCGUUCAUCUGCCGCAGGAGCUCCACUUGCUUUGUGAGGUACUGCAAGACAGCCCUGCUGUUACUGGUUUACUCUUGAGACACGAGCUACAGCUCCUCUGCUGCAUUUUGGCUCACAUUCAGAGAGAAACUCCUGAGCUUUCCAAGUGUAAAUUCCCAUGUUUGCUUUGGUAAGCUGAAGAGACACUCAGUAACUAGGCAGCUUGCCUUUGUCAUGGAGGUCACCCCAGGCUCCCGAGGCAGCCCUUACCUGGAGGAGCUGGGUUAGGUGGUGCCAGCUGUCUUGGUCUGUGCCCAGCCUCCUGCAUGGGGCUGUGCUGCAGUCAGCACUGAUAGAGCCUUCAGGCUCCAACACAGCCCUUACCUGUCCUCUGUGUUCUAAAGGUUGAGUCUGCUCCAACAGAAAUUUCUUAUCUGUGGUGACCCAACAAUUUUCUCAACAUUAAAACUGAAAUAUUGGGUAGCAUCAUCCAUAAUUUAACAUACUUUCAGCUGACCCAAGUGAUUCCAGUCUGAAGCAGCAUUAGGUUCAGCACAGCAAAAUUUAGGUUGUGGUCACUCUUAAGACAGUAUGUGGCUAGUAUGUGUCAGGAAGUAUGUUAUUGAAUUCAAAUCUUUAAUUACUUCCAGGUAACUAUUCCAGUUACAGUAAUCCCAAACAAAGGUCUCCUGGCCUUUUUUUAGAAAACAAAACCUCACAUGAAGUAUUCUCAAUUUAAUCCUCUUGGGUUUUACAAUUAACUACACACACUGUUUAGUUUCCUGAAUAACCUCAGAAAGCUUGGAAUUCUUAGUCUUAGCAGUUCACAAUCACCUAAAGCUCUUAAAGUGUCUUAUAUUUUCCCACCCAGGACAUGAGCACUUAUAUGAGACAGUUCUUUUAGUUUGAGCCUAACCCCCUAAAUCUGACAUCUUUUGCUCUUAUAUAGAAUUUUUAUUUUACAAUAUAUUCUGUAUUGCUACUUGUUACUUUCUCAAAACUAAGCUUCAAGCAGGAACAUCAGCAAACUCCUAGGCAGAAUUACUUCUCUUUACAUGGGUCUGUUACAUACUCAAAACUUCUAAUAUUCUACUUAACCUUUUACCUCAUUAAAAGAUUGGUGGGUUUACAUUUUAGGCAAUUUAAGAACAGAUAAUAAGUUAAUCUAGGACUAGUAACUGCUCCAUACAGACUUCUAGAAGAUCAACAUGAUAGCUGUUAGCUAGAUCCUUUUGUAGGCUGUGCACACAUGACAGAGGAUUUACACAAAAAUAGAAUGUAGAUUAGCAGUAGAAUCUCAAUGUGACCCAUUUCAGAUUAACUUUCCCUAUUGGUUAUAGCUGAAGGAAGGAGCUGGAGAUCCUCAGAGUUUCUUCUGCAAUACAAGUGUGGCAAUACAAGCACAGGUGCCUGAAGAGAUGUUGCCACUUAUUACAAUGGGCUUUUGCAGACCUUGGAGAUGAAUGGAAGGGGUGAAGCACCACUUCCUCCACCUUCCAUCUCCAGUAUCUUCAGGGCUGGUGUCCAGUUGGCCUGGUAUAACCAGACCACCAAAGCUGAUGUAAUAAAUACUUUAGAAGUUCAUGUUUAAUGGAGCACCAAAUAUGAAGCAGCACCUUGCAUUCUAGCACAUGAAAACUGGGAGGCUGUCAAGAUUUCCAGGGUCUGAGUGCUGAGAACACAUUCAGGCAGGAAUAAAGUUGCUGUUUCCAUGCAGCCUUUAUUACAUCUACAGUGACUAGUCAGUGGCACACGUGUCAGCACAAAGGUCAGAUAUAAUGAUGCAAAGCUGUAAAAUGCUUAAUGUGUUAGUAUUUAAUAUAUGAGAUGUAAUCUUAAGCACACCACAGCCUUUGACCUUUCCCCUCCAUUACAGACAAGGCAAUGCUGUAUUUCAGAAUGAUUUCUCAGCCAGCUCUAGACUUUGCUAGCCCUAAGAUCCAAAUUAAUAGGAAAAGAGUCCCAAAGAUUUACAUGGAUAUACUGCACUGAAAAAGCUAGUACAGAAAUUCAGUGGAGUGGCUACAGGAACAGCUGAAUGAUCACAUGUAGGUUACAGAGACAAGCACUUGAAAAUUGGAAAAAAUCAAGAACAGAGACUGAAUAUGCCAUUUGCACAUGUAUCCUGUGCAACAGGGCAUCCUAUGAUCCCACAAGAGCCAGAAAUGCUGAUAUGAAAAUAAUAGACUGAACUGCUUUAUACCUUGCAUAUGAAAAUUGUAUUCCCAUUUGUUUCAGUGAAUUCCUGUAACAAUUCCUUGUGCCAGUAAGCUAACAUAUGCAGUUCCUCAGUUGGACAGUCUCUCUGGGUAUUUGAACAAGGGGUUCAUUUUCCCUUUCCUGCUAGAAAUCCAGGUGCAAGAGAAACUUCUUUGGAGAAAGAAAAGUUUUGUGCUGCUAUUACACUUUUAAAUGGCACUGGGGAAAGGGAAAAAAUUGAGACAGGCGACAGGACUGAGAAGACAGCACGUUAGUACAGCAGAUACAAAUACAGCCUUUGGCUCAACAAGCUGGGCAAAGACAAGGUGCAGGCACUAUUUAUACAUCAGAAGCAUCACAAAAACUGUUCUCCCACUCUCCUCCUCUUGGAGGGAGCUAAUAGGACAAUCCAACACACAUUUACUCUCCUUGAGGGAGAGGAGGAAAGAGAUUGAAGAGGUAUUAGAUAAAGCCUUCAAAAAGUAGUAUUGCCAAAGUCUUGGUAGAGCAAGACAUUGAGAAAAAAAAAUUCAUCUGUCAUGUCUGAGUUUGACUGCAUGUGUACCUGACCCUGCAACACCCAACUAUAGAUCACUGUGGAAGGACACUGGUGACACUUCCUGGAGCUGCAGCUCUCUCACAUCCUCUGCAAACACUGAACCACCAGAACAGCUUAAGGAAGUAAACUGGCUUAAACCAAUAGGAUAUUGCAUUCUUAACAGCACUAGACUGUUUCUGUAAAUCAGUGUAGCCAAACAAUAAUGUAUUUUCCACAUUUCUAGAUAGUGUUAAAAUGCAGCUGCUCAUUAAGUAGCUACACUCCCAACAGCCAGGUUAGCUGCCUAUCACAAAGUUCUGCUGUGCUAUUUCAAAGGUAUGUUGUAACUCUGCUAAACACUUUCUUCAAUAUGGUUGUUUAUACAAGUACCUUGUGUACAGUAUUUGUAUAGCACCUUGGAAGUGUUUGUCUUCUCUACACCUUAGGAAUUGAUCUUUUUAUAAAAACUAUUCAUGGCAAUGAGGUAUUUUCAGUCUCUGCAGAAGUAAAUACAUCUUCUAACGCUGUGGCAGCAAUAUAAACAUCAGCCAUUCCAACCACUGUAUCUCAGAAUGAACAGGAUAACAAAGAUUACAGUUAGCACAUAAUAGAAGAAAGAGCCAACAGAUGAGGUACAAAACAAAAGUAACUUCUAAAAACACGCCCACAAAUCAAACCUGCACUCAGAAAUUACUCAUCGCUUAAAAAAAUGCUGCAUUUGUGUUGACUACUUUAAAGUCACCUAUAAUUCUGCAAUUAUUAAGGUUAGGAUUCUUUCAGUUACCUUUUGCCACUACAAUAGUGAGCAUUUUCAGUCUCAGCUGUACAAAAUGCACAUCUCUAAGUGCAGUACUGCUAGCACAAAGGAAUUCAGAUUUUGUAAAAAUCUGGUACAUACCAGUCAAAGCCUGUUCCCUGUGAUUCACACCAGAACCAAAUGGAAAUGCUGACUACAUUUUCAAUGUCAGUCAGUGAAGUCCUGAAUAUUUAAUAAUUUAAUUAUUAGAGACCAUGCAUGCCCUCUAAUAGCUGAAAAAGAUCUCAUUAUGCUGACAAAUGCUAGGUCUGCAAGAACACAGGCAAUAUUAAAAAAAAAAAAAGAAACUGCCAAAAAUAGCCAGGUUUUUCCACUCUGUUACCUAAAGAUGACUGGUUUUGAAAGGAUGGUUAUGUUAUUGGGUUUUUUCCCUGGAAAAUAUGAACCAAUAUAUCCACUAUAUCCUAUAUUUACAUACUACUUAAAUUGGAUUAUUUUCAGGGGUUUUUUUCUUGUUUGUUUGUUGUGGGUUUUUUUGUCAUUGCAGGGUUUCUUUACAUUGAAAUAGACUUUAACUCCCUUUAUCACUGAUUAUUGGAAGUACAUAUCUUUAGAUUUCAGUUAAAUCUCACUUCUGCACUUAUUGGCAUUUAAAUUUCAAUGCUGCAAUCAUUAAUUCUCAUGUAAUAUUUUAAAUUAUUAAUGUCUUUAUCAUAAUAUAAUUUAAUGUUAUUUUACCUAGCAAGA